CAGAGGAUAGGAUAUAGAGCUGUAGACUGCUAGCUCUAUGUAGACCCCCAGAGGACAGGAUAUAGAGCUGUAGACCCCCAGAGGACAGGAUAUAGAGCUGUAGACCCCCAGAGGACAGGAUAUAGAGCUGUAGUCUGCUAGCUCUAUGUAGACCCCCAGAGGAUAGGAUAUAGAGCUGUAGACCCCCAGAGGACAGGAUAUAGAGCUGUAGUCUGCUAGCUCUAUGUAGACCCCCAGAGGACAGGAUAUAGAGCUGUAGACCCCCAGAGGACAGGAUAUAGAGCUGUAGACUGCUGGCUCUAUGUAGACCCCCAGAGGACAGGAUAUAGAGCUGUAGACCCCCAGAGGAUAGGAUAUAGAGCUGUAGACCCCCAGAGGACAGGAUAUAGAGCUGUAGACUGCUGGCUCUAUGUAGACCCCCAGAGGACAGGAUAUAGAGCUGUAGACCCCCAGAGGAUAGGAUAUAGAGCUGCAGACCCCCAGAGGAUAGGAUAUAGAGCUGUAGUCUGCUAGCUCUAUGUAGACCCCCAGAGGAUAGGAUAUAGAGCUGUAGACCCCAGAGGGACAGGAUAGAGCUCUGUAGACCCCCAGAGGAUAGGAUAGAGCUGUAGACUCCCAGAGGAUAGGAUAUAGAGCUGUAGACCCCCAGAGGAUAGGAUAUAGAGCUGUAGACCCCCAGAGGAUUGGAUAUAGAGCUGUAGACCCCAGAGGAUUGGAUAUAGAGCUGCAGACCCCCAGAGGAUAGGAUAUAGAGCUGUAGACCCCCAGAGGAUAGGAUAUUGAGCUGUAGACCCCCAGAGGAUAGGAUAUAGAGCUGUAGACCCCCAGAGGAUAGGAUAUAGAGCUGCAGACCCCCAGAGCAUAGGAUAUAGAGCUGCAGACCCCCAGAGGACAGGAUGUAGUCUGCUGGCUCUAUGUAGACCCCCAGAGGAUAGGAUAUAGAGCUGUAGACCCCCAGAGGAUAGGAUAUAGAGCUGUAGACUGCUGGCUCUAUAUAGACCCCCAGGGGAUAGGCUAUAGAGCUGUAGUCUGCUAGCUCUAUGCAGACCCCCAGAGGAUAGGAUAUAGAGCUGUAGACCCCCAGAGGACAGGAUAUAGAGCUGUAGUCUGCUAGCUCUAUGUAGACCCCCAGAGGAUAGGAUAUAGAGCUGCAGACCACCAGAGGAUAGGAUAUAGAGCUGCAGACCCCCAGAGGACAGGAUAUAGAGCUGUAGUCUGCUGGCUCUAUGUAGACCCCCAGAGGAUAGGAUAUAGAGCUGUAGACCCCAGAGGAUAGGAUAUAGAGCUGUAGACCCCCAGAGGAUAGGAUAUAGAGCUGUAGACUGCUAGCUCUAUGUAGACCCCCAGGGGAUAGGCUAUAGAGCUGUAGUCUGCUAGCUCUAUGCAGACCCCCAGAGGAUAGGAUAUAGAGCUGUAGACCCCCAGAGGACAGGAUAUAGAGCUGUAGUCUGCUAGCUCUAUGUAGACCCCCAGAGGAUAGGAUAUAGAGCUGUAGACCCCCAGAGGACAGGAUAUAGAGCUGUAGUCUGCUAGCUCUAUGUAGACCCCCAGAGGACAGGAUAUAGAGCUGUAGACCCCCAGAGGAUAGGAUAUAGAGCUGUAGACUGCUGGUUUUAUGUAGACCCCCAGAGGACAGGAUAUAGAGCUGCAG
rnacentral:lncRNA from 1 species